rnacentral:rRNA from 1 species
GAUGAACGCUGGCGGCGUGCCUAAUACAUGCAAGUCGAGCGAACAGACGAGGAGCUUGCUCCUCUGACGUUAGCGGCGGACGGGUGAGUAACACGUGGAUAACCUACCUAUAGGACUGGGAUAACUUCGGGAAACCGGAGCUAAUACCGGAUAAUAUAUUGAACCGCAUGGUUCAAUAGUGAAAGACGGUUUUGCUGUCACUUAUAGAUGGAUCCGCGCCGCAUUAGCUAGUUGGUAAGGUAACGGCUUACCAAGGCGACGAUGCGUAGCCGACCUGAGAGGGUGAUCAGCCACACUGGAACUGAGACACGGUCCAGACUCCUACGGGAGGCAGCAGUAGGGAAUCUUCCGCAAUGGGCGAAAGCCUGACGGAGCAACGCCGCGUGAGUGAUGAAGGUCUUCGGAUCGUAAAACUCUGUUAUUAGGGAAGAACAAAUGUGUAAGUAACUAUGCACGUCUUGACGGUACCUAAUCAGAAAGCCACGGCUAACUACGUG